AUUGAACGCUGGCGGCAUGCCUUACACAUGCAAGUCGAACGGUAACAGGUCUUCGGAUGCUGACGAGUGGCGAACGGGUGAGUAAUACAUCGGAACGUGCCCGAUCGUGGGGGAUAACGAAGCGAAAGCUUUGCUAAUACCGCAUACGAUCUACGGAUGAAAGCUUUGGUGGAUACGGAUUGGCUCGCGUGACAUUAGCUAGAUGGUAAGGUAACGGCUUACCAUGGCUACGAUGUCUAGGGGUUCUGAGAGGAAGAUCCCCCACACUGGAACUGAGACACGGUCCAGACUCCUACGGGAGGCAGCAGUGAGGAAUAUUGGACAAUGGAUGGAAAUCUGAUCCAGCCAUGCCGCGUGCAGGAAGACGGCCCUAUGGGUUGUAAACUGCUUUUGUACGGGAACAAAAUGCGACCUGCGGGUUGUACUGAGGGUACCGUAAGAAUAAGCACCGGCUAACUCCGUG
rnacentral:rRNA from 1 species